AAAGGCAGAAAAUGGCAUUGCCACAGUUAUUCGCAAAAUGAGUACAAUCUAAUUUCAACACAAUGAAAAACAUAAAUAGCCAAAGUGAAAAAACAAUUAGAAAAUUGAUAUUGUUAGCAUCACGUUCCUACUUAUUCUGGAUGGUUAUUUGCAAAUAAAACAUGAACCUGUUCCAGUCUGAAUGCCAUACUCUGGGUUUAUCAUCUGCAGGCAGAUCCAGAUAUUUGGUUUCAACAGAUUGUGAAAAAAGCUCUCUUGGAAGCAACUUCAGAAAUUGGCUUUCAUACAACAUACAAAAGGCAAAACUUCAUAGCGCAGCAGGAAUUAACAAGAUAGAGGAUGCUACAGAAGCUCCAAAUAAAAGAUGCGAAAUUGAAUAUGCUG
rnacentral:lncRNA from 1 species